rnacentral:rRNA from 1 species
GCGGGGAGUGAGGCUUGCCUUACUUUGCCGGCGACCCGCUCACGGGUGAGUAACACGUAUGCAACCUACCCUUUACAGCGGGAUAACCGGAAGAAAUUUCGCCUAAUACCGCAUAUACUCCUUGGGAGGCAUCUUCCGAGGGGGAAAGAAAUUCGGUGAAGGAUGGGCAUGCGUCGCAUUAGUUAGUUGGCGGUGUAACGGACCACCAAGACGACGAUGCGUAGGGGUUCUGAGAGGAAGGUCCCCCACACUGGUACUGAGACACGGACCAGACUCCUACGGGAGGCAGCAGUGAGGAAUAUUGGUCAAUGGGCGAGAGCCUGAACCAGCCAAGUCGCGUGAAGGAUGACGGCCCUACGGGUUGUAAACUUCUUUUGUCAGGGAGCAAUUGAGUCCACGUGUGGGCUUAGCGAGAGUACCUGAAGAAAAAGCAUCGGCUAACUCCGUGCCAGCAGCCGCGGUAAUACGGAGGAUGCGAGCGUUAUCCGGAUUUAUUGGGUUUAAAGGGUGCGUAGGCGGAAUAUCAAGUCAGCGGUAAAAAUUCGGGGCUCAACCCCGUCGUGCCGUUGAAACUGAUGUUCUUGAGUGGGCGAGAAGUAUGCGGAAUGCGUGGUGUAGCGGUGAAAUGCAUAGAUAUCACGCAGAACUCCGAUUGCGAAGGCAGCAUACCGGCGCCCAACUGACGCUGAAGCACGAAAGCGUGGGUAUCGAACAGGAUUAGAUACCCUGGUAGUCCACGCAGUAAACGAUGAAUGCUAAUUGUCCGGAGGGAUUGACCUCUGGGUGAUACAGCGAAAGCGUUAAGCAUUCCACCUGGGGAGUACGUCGGCAACGGUGAAACUCAAAGGAAUUGAC